GAUGAACGCUGGCGGCGUGCCUAAUACAUGCAAGUCGAGCGCACAGACGAGGAGCUUGCUCCUCUGACGUUAGCGGCGGACGGGUGAGUAACACGUGGAUAACCUACCUAUAAGACUGGGAUAACUUCGGGAAACCGGAGCUAAUACCGUAUAAUAUAUUGAACCGCAUGUUUCAAUAGUGAAAGACGGUUUUGCUGUCUCUUAUAGAUGGAUCCGCGCCGCAUUAGCUAGUUGGUAAGGUAACGGCUUACCAAGGCAACGAUGCGUCGCCGACCGGAGAGGGUGAUCGGCCACACUGGAACUGAGACACGGUCCAGACUACUACGGGAGGCAGCAGUAGGGAAUCUUCCGCAAUGGGCGAAAGCUUUACGGAGCAACGCCGCGUGAGUGAUGAAGGUCUUCGGAUCGUAAAACUCUGUUAUUAGGGAAAAAAAAAUGUGUAAGUAACUAUGCACGUCUUGACGGUACCUAAUCAGAAAGCCACGGCUAAAUACGUG
rnacentral:rRNA from 1 species